rnacentral:lncRNA from 1 species
UUAAAUCGGGGCAUCCAGCUGCCACCAGAUUCCUUGCAGGGUGAGGGAACUGUGUUUCUCCAGUACAAAUGGGGGCCCUCCUAAUCAUUUGGAUCAGGCAACCACCACAUAAGCCAUCGUGCCGAGACAGAGGCCCUUGCUGAGGAAUAGAUUUGGGAAGGGGCCACUACGGAAGCUCGGAAGCUCACAAAGCAGUCACUCCCAUAAGGAAUAGAGAGCUGGAGGACCAGAAAAAUGCUACCAAAGACACAGGCAUUUGCUCAGGCAAUGCUGAAAGCUUGAUCCAGUGAAUGGGGAUACUGCCAUGCUUCUCCAAGAACCACUACUGACCUUCUGUCCUUAGUGACAGCAAUGUCUGUGAGCACUUCUGGGUCUGGCAGCAACAUCUUCAAUAUCUGAUCCCAAAAGGUAACCCCAGCUGGUGUCAUGAUCCUAGCCAGCACACCCACUGAGCCAGCUCACUGCCCCAUUGGAUGCUCUGUGAAAGGAGCUGCUUUUCUGG